CGUGCAGGCGGUCUGUUAAGUCUAGGGUGAAAGCUCCCGGCUCAACUGGGAGAGGUCCUUGGAUACUGGCGGACUUGAGGGAGGUAGAGGAGAGUGGAAUUCCCGGUGUAGUGGUGAUAUGCGUAGAUAUCGGGAGGAACACCAGUGGCGAAGGCGGCUCUCUGGGCCUUACCUGACGCUGAGACGCGAAAGCGUGGGGAGCGAACCGGAUUAGAUACCCGGGUAGUCCACGCCGUAAACUAUGGACACUAGGUGUGGGGGGUAUCGACCCCCUCCGUGCCGAAGCUAACGCAAUAAGUGUCCCGCCUGGGGAGUACGGCCGCAAGGCUAAA
rnacentral:rRNA from 1 species